rnacentral:lncRNA from 1 species
ACAAUUUAAUAGUCUAAUCUGGUUCCUCUAUAAGACACAUGACCAAAUGUAAAUGCUGGGUAAUAUUACACUUACGUCGAGCAUUCAACCUCAAUGGAUCACCUAGGUCUUUGUCUUAACUCGUAGUGAAGUUAAACUCCGCAAUGACCAGGCAUAUAUUGGUGCCUCCCACUCUAGGUUCUGUAUAGCAGCAUUUACACAAAUUGAAUCCGUAAAUGUAUAGAAAUUAUAAGCUCAAGGAUUUUCUGGGUAAAUAUACACUGAUAUGAUGGCAUCUAUUUUGUUGUCAAAACUAGCGUCAUGGGCAACAUUUUCUUUUUUUCAAAAGUAGCAUCAUGGGCAACCUAAAGCAAGGGUUUGACUGAGAUAUUAGAUUGAAUCCCUUUUUUGCAGUUGAUAGUUCUGGUUAUUUUUUGGUACAAAGUAAGACAUAUACAUAUUGAGUUUACAGUCUUCUGUCUCAUGAAAUCGUCCAUCCCUCACUAGUCUCACAAAAUUCAAAUAGGAACAAGAAACUUUCGAUAGGAUAUCUUAUUGUAUUUAAAUGCAAUAAGAACCUCGGUAUAUCGGCAACAUGCACCUGAAAUAUCACAACUAAAAAUUAUCUUAUACAUACACACGGAUGGCCAUGCGCCGCACCCCCAACAUGCACUGUUCAUGUCGUGGCUAACCACGUCGCAGAGUAGGAGAGAGGCGGCACCGCGGGAGAACUUCUUGACUAGGGUAUCGCUCUAGUCUGGUAAGUCAACUACAUACAAUGAGUCUACCCGCGCUUUCAUGUGUUGCGUGCGUGUGAUCGUUGCUACUGAUGCACAUGCGGUGCGAUGAAGUUUGUUGUUUAAAAAGGUGCAAUGGAGAGAAGACGAGGAGUACGCAUGGUGCAAUAUAUGGAGAGAAAGUUGUUAGUAGGCGAGGGUGUCGUACCAUGUAGUUUGUCGUUUAAUUACGACGCCCCGACAUGCAAAAUUACGACACCUCGGCGACCAACACAAAAUUACGACGCCACGACAGGACAAAUUACGACGUCCUGGCUCGACUGGCUCGACUGUCACGGCCAAGAGCUCCGGUGUGUAAUUGCAUGUGGGACAGCCUGAGAUAGCUUUGACGUGGAGAAGGGAUCCCGGACGUGCCCGGGCAUGACCGGGCUGCCUCAUAACAUCCUAAUAUUUGAGACGGCUUUGAGGGGUGUCGGUCAGUCCGGUCAUUUGAGAUCGGUUUGACAGGCCCGUCUGGAUCACUUUUUUGUGACCGGUCAGUGACCGGGCGGUCUGUCCAGAAAUUGAAGAAGGAUAUAAAGGGUGUGGCUGUAGAUAGCUCUAAUAUAAUUAUAAAUGCCAGUUUGUAGGGUCAUACUGUUGAAGACACCGGCAUCAUUACGAUGCCCCCCCCCCUUCCAUAGCCGUUUCCCGCGGUCGGGAAGCCCCGGAGUGUCCCCAUGCCUCCCACGCCCAUGAACAAGUUCUUCUCAUCCGCCGUGUUGCUCCUCCUAGAGGAACACCUUCACUGCGGUCUGGAAUGAGGUCUCCACCGCACCCGACUCAGGUACGGUUCUGGUGAUCGCUAGCCAUGUGGCAGAGCAAAAGAGAGGCGGCACUACCGGAGCACUUAUUGACCAGGGCGCCGCUCUAGUCUAGUCAGCCAAUUACAUAUAUCGAGUCUACUCAAUCUCUCAUGUGUUGUGCGCGUGUGAUCACUUGGGGUGCAAUGGAGUGUGUCGUUUAAAUAGGCCAAAAAGGAGGAGACGAGGAGUACGCACGGUGCGAUGGAGAGACAGUUGCUAGUAGGCGAGGGUGCAAAUGAGGCGAAUGGCAGGGUGGCGUGGGGGGUAGUGAAUGUUUGAUCAGAAUUCAGAAGGCUGAGUAAAUUACAUUCUCAAUACAGGAUAAUUUAUUGGCUUCAGAAUCUUGUUAGGCAAUCACCCAGAUUUGGCCGUCACAUUGAAGUGGCAUGCCUCUGUGUGCUGAUUUGUCGAGGUAAUAAAACACACAUGCCUUGUAACCAUCAAGUUAUGAUUGCUCUUGUAGUGAGUGCAGCCUGUUGCUGUUGUACGCUUGGCCCGGGAGGUAGCAGCCUUUGAGCAAGUUGUACGAUAGAACCAAAUUUGCUUUCGCUCCACAUGAUAAACUUGAUCAGUACCAAUUUAUCUCCUCUCUAUAUCCGGUCAGGUACACACACUACUACUACGGAUUUCAGUAUUGGGACUUCAUACUGCACAUGGACUCAUAGAGCAAACCAUGUGCUAAUUCUAGGCUGUCGAGGUAGUGGGAAGAAAGCUGACGAAAAGUGGCUGAGAGAUAUGAAGGAUUAAUUGUGUUGCAACCUGUCAACAGUUUGAGAUUCUAGAAUUUUUAUGUGAUUUGCUGGGUUUGGGCCGCACUGAACAAGAGAUUUAGAUGUUCUCCUAGCUGUAAUGGAUCAGAGAUCCCAUAAUGUUGCAACUAUACGUCUACGCAGAUGAUAUUAUUUUUCGUUCUCGGCUAAUGCUUGAGCCACUAACAUAUCCUAAUUUCAUAUAUAUCAAUUAGGACCACCCAAUGAAAUCAAAUUAACUAGCCACCUUAAUUUGUCUAGACAAGAUUAAAGCGGAAAGACCGAAGUUCAAUUCCAAGACGCAUCACUCAUCUCAUCGCCGACGGCGGCUGAUGUGUGCUCUGAAUAAUUCAGAUUUUUGUGGUACCAGGAUUACCCAAACCAAAACAUUGGGUAAUCUGAAUUCGGGUAUUUUUUGGCAGAAAAAUUACGGUUUCCAUUUUUACUACCCAAAAUACCCCAAAACCGAACUACCCGAAUCGAAACAACCGAAAUACCCAAACGCCCGGGGUGACGUGUCGUCCUCCAUCCGCCGUCUUCAUGAGCACUGGCGAUAAGACUGAUGUAGUAAAGGUGUGAUCUCCGACGAGGGAGAGUAGAACACGGGAGACGUACUAGCCCACAUGGGAUAGAACGCACCCCGUAUCCCGUGGCUUGCUCGACCUCGAAGGAGUCCGUACCCUGACUGUCGCCGGUGGACGUGAGGUCAACAAGGGAAAUGGUGGUGCCUUGGUUGUCGUCGUCCCACCGGACCAACUGAUGUUUCGUCGGUUGCCAGUAGGAAGCGCAACUAGCGUUGUUCUCCUCCACGAUCGCUUGCAACUGCGCCUCCGCGGUGGAAGCUUCCGGGUGAGGGGUGGCUUGAGCGCGGAUGGCAUCGUAGAUGGCAUGCUACUCGGCGACGAAGUUAGCAUCGUGGCCCUGACCGCCAAGGCCUCCUGGCUCGCGCGCUCGCCGUCGAUCUGAUCCAACGCGAGCCAAUGUUGCUACAAUGACCGCUCUAACACCAACGUACGCGUCGGCGUAGGCUGCCCCUCUUCCCGCGCCAUGGUGUAGCCAGAGUGCACUAGAAGUGUAGGGGUCGGGGCGCUGUCAUCGAAGCCCAUCAGCAUCGUGGUGUCGUCGUCGGGGACCUCAGCCUCAAUCCGCCUGGCCUGGCGGCUCUGCCUUGUGGCGGCAAGGUCGGUCACCUCCUGUUUCAUCUCCGUGGAAAGGUUGUCCCAUAUAAAUUCGCCGCCUGCAGUGAUGACGGACAUGGUGGAAGGGAGGAGGAUGUGGAGAGGAAGUGGAGCCGCUAUGCUGUGUUGUGGAGGUAGUCGGGUGUGGUUGCACUUAAAUAACGGAUUCUGAUGAGGCGAGGCGUCAAUGCGGGACGCCAUAGUGGGUUUCUCGACCCGCGAGCCUGCUUAAUAGUCGUACCGUCCCGUCCCGUCCAGUCACGUGUCUCCAGCAUUGACAAGACGAGGCAUUGAAUGGGCGUGGUAGAUAUCUAUAUCGUCCCGUCCAGUAACAUGUCUCCGGCAUUGACAAGACGAGGCAUUGAACGGGCGUGGUAGAUAUCUAUACCGUCCCGUCCAGUAACGUGUCUCCGGCAUUGACAAGACGCGGACACCGAAGACAUGUGACGUGUGGUGUCCUCGAACGGCGAGCUGCUUCAUUGCCAACGCCAGUGAGAAGUCGCUUCCGCUCUUUGAUGUGUUGCAACUGGAUCUUACUACUCUUCUUUUCCCUCCAUAUCAUGGGGAAAACAAUAUUUUAACUUGUAUAGCUUGUUUAUAUAAGCUUAUUUUAUUUAGUUGCUUUUAUUAUGUACACACUUGCAAUGUUGAGCACCACAGGUAUGCAGGGGUACGUGCACGUUCUUGAAUCCUGCACCUGUAUCUCAUCCAACGCGUCUCAACCAUUAACCCAGAUCAUGGUGGGCCGCCGCCGGCGCCUCUACCGCAGUGCCCCUCAAAACGGAAUAGCACCGGCGCCCCCAAUACUGCCAUAUUCUGCCGCGCUCCUGACGCCUCCCCCGACAUAGCCGGGUGGGCUUGUGGCACCGGUGAAGAUGUCGACAUCGUUGUCGUUGAAUUCCCCGCAGCAACCGCCGCCCAUGGUGGGAGGCCCGGUAGGUUCCCCAUGCCUCCCGAGCCCACGAAGUUCUUCUCGUCCUUGGCGCCGGCCACGACGGUCUUUUUCUUAUAGGUGGCGUGGGCGGCGAGGCAGAGCACAGGACGAAGGAGGCGACAGUGCGAGAGCAUUUCUAGACCAUGGCUCUAUACUUUACUCGCUCCCUCGUGUGCAUGUUGUUUGUGUGAGAUGUAGCGACUGCUUAUACUUACGGUGUGGUGGAGUUUGCGUUUAAAUAACUGCGGAGAAGUACGUACGAUGCUAGAUUUGCGGUUUAAAGAAUGAGGAGUGACGGAGAAAUCUGCUGCUCCUGUUUCUUUAAGAAUGAGAAUGAGGCUCCCGUCUGCUAGCAAAAUGACGACCGGACUUCUAAAUGUGCCCAACAUUUUUAGGCUUCUAAAUUUGCUGGACUUUUCUUUUGGUCGCAGUUGUAUUGUGAGGCGCAAGCCCAAGCGGCCUAGCAUAUGUUAGUUUCUUUAGAAAAGUAUUUUCUAUAGCUGUCAAACAACAUCACCUCUUCUAGUGCAUACGUAUGUACUACUUCCUCCGUUUCUAAAUCUAAGUUUUUUUUAGAGUUUUUAGUAGGAAACUACAUACGGAUAUAUAUAGAUAUAUUUUAGAGUAUAGAUUAACUCAUUUUGUUCCUAUGUAGUCACUUAGUAAAAUCUUUUAAAAAACUAAUAUUUAGGAACAGAGUGAGUAAUAUACAUGAUGAGCACUGCCUGGCUGUGCAUAGAAGAGAGAAAAUUCGGGGCAAGUUGAGAAGGCCUUUAUCCCUUAAACAAAAAAUACUUAACAUGAUCCUCUUAACAAACAUGGAAUUGUUUCCUAGAGAAAAUAAAAAGAAAAGAUAACGCCCACACGUGUGGGCGUUUGCAAACCGUCCACAUUCAUGGAUCUGCGUCCGUUUAUGCUUUGCAUUAAUGUUGACAUUUUUUGGCAGUUUUUUUUGUGCGACGUAGGAUUGGGCUCGUGUGUGGACAUUUAACCACUUCGUCCACAUGCCCGUUUCUNNNNNNNNNNNNNNNNNNNNNNNNNNNNNNNNNNNNNNNNNNNNNNNNNNNNNNNNNNNNNNNNNNNNNNNNNNNNNNNNNNNNNNNNNNNNNNNNNNNNNNGUUUUUUAGGCUUAAAAAUAUUUUAUCUCCUAACUUAAAAAUCUAAUGAAAAUUUUGUUUUUACCAUUAAAUCUGUCUCGACGAGGUCUUUAAAAUUUCUUUCACCAUGACAAUUUAAGUUUAUGGUUCAUGGCAAGUCUAGUUUCUUAAUUCUCCAUUUUAUAAUAUGACAAAAUUUAGUUUUAAAUGUAGAAGAAAAAAUAGAUGAAACAUAUCAUAUCCACUUUAUUGUAAACACUAUGGCAACUACAGUGUAACAUCAUGGCAACUGUUGCCAGAAAAAAAAAUCAUUGAAACAUAUUGAUAUGAUAUCUAGUUUCGAAAAUCUUGUCGCGAUGAAUUUAAUAGUGAAAACGGAUCUUCAAUCGAUUUUUUAUUUACAAGAUAAAAUAUUUUAAAAACUGGAAAUCCAAAAAGAUACCCACAUACAAGCAUGCGAUGACGUGAGACAGGAGGCCGAACGUGUGGGCGUUAGCUAUUUUGCCCACACGCACGUGUGUGAGUUGUUUUCCUUACACACUACACGGGACGUGUGGGCAAUACUUUUUAACGCCACACGUGUGAGCAUUAUCAGAACCCAAAAAAAAUGCCAUGGAAUUGUUUCGCUGCAAAUAAAAAAAUAAAAUGAAAUUGUGAGUAAUUUCGAGUGAGCAUCGAAUGAACCUUUGUUGGAAAAGGCAGUGUCUAGGAGGCACUUAAGCAUGCUUAAGCACUAGGCGAUGGCUAAACACCUCGCCUAGAGAAUAAAUGGAAGUAUAGGCAGCACAAGUAAAAAAUAGUGUAAGCAAGAAAUCAUGAAGUCGGGCCAUAUUCCAAUGUGUGUUUAACUUAUUUGUAAGUCUAUUAUUAAAAUACACAUAUAAUACCACAAAUACAUCCUAAUCGCAUAAACGACAUCACCGCCUACGCCACACCAAUGGCGCUAAAGCAUAGCCUACGCACUAGGAAAAGGCCAACUGCCUGUGUAACACCCUGAUUUUUUCAAACCUUUUCUUUUUAAAAUAUUUUUAAAAAUCACUUGCAAGUUGGUGGAUUUUCAAAUUGUUAAAGCAAGUUGGAUUACUCAAACAACCCAAAACCUUUUGUUUCUUACUAAAACCUUUCCGAGAUUUAUUUGCAAUAUUUUAUUCCAUCAAAUAAUUCUCUUUUUCUAUUUUGGGAAUUAUGCCAUCACUAUGGGUUGUGAAGCAACCUAUAGCUUGGAUGAGCUUUAAGACCCAAAACUUUUACAACAUCUUCUCAAUACCAUAUGAUUUCAAAAUAUUCAAAAAUAUUUCUUUUCCAAUGGAUAAUUAUGGCCAGAAUAAUUAUUUCUUUUCUGACCAGAAUUAUCCCUUUGUGAAGCAACCCCAAGAUUCCUGUUUUGAAAAAUUCCCAAUAAAUUCCUGUAGUUACUAGGGAUCAUAUAUGGUUCCAAUAUGUAAAAACAUCCCAUGGUCCCAUACAAAUUUUGAGCAAAAAUACUCUGCUAAGUUUCUGCUAAAACAGAACCUUUGUGAAGGAAGUGCUAGCUAGGAGUGCACAAUGGAGCUACAAAUUUUUGAGCAUGUGUGCACUACCAAAUGACACUUCCCCACCAAUUGAAACUGGUAGCAAAGCUUGCAAUUGAGUGCUAGGAGCUCAUUUGUGUUCUGGACUAGAAAGAUGGUUUUCAAAGGAACUAUAUUCAUUUUAUCUUCAAACCUGGCCAAUCUUUGCCAGUUUAGAGUCUUUUCUAUGUUGAUCCUCGUAGAUAUCUUAUCUUGCUCUAACCCCAACCCAAUUGAGCUCUAGAACCACCCAAAGUCUGUAGACAGAAACUGUUGUUGAUGUUCCUAGUCACAGGAGGGCUUGUAUGAUCGGGCAAGCAGUGGAUGGUGACUAAAGGGAAGAUGGUCGACACAAUAGACAAGGUUUCCAGGCCUGCGUGGCAUCAGGGUCGCCAAAACCGUGGUGAUCACUGUGCUGGCAUGCCACAGAGCGCGCUCUGCGCAGCUCCAGUGACAGUCGGGCCGCCCCGAGCCGUCAAUCGCUGCCCCACCCUUGUCCUAAGCACCGACGAGGUCCCUAGUAGCCGCGUGUCACCUCCCGAACCCUAUGGGUCGCCGGAGAGGGCCGCCGCCACUCCCGGCCAAGCUCCGCCAUGGGCAGCACAAUGGGAUUCGGUCACUGUAAUCGUCCGCAAGCCAUUAAUGGCUCCGGACCCGUCCCGUCGCUCCCCUGACCUCCUCCAUCACCUCACAUCCACGCCACGACAGCCAGCUCACUGUCCUUGCUCCAGUGGCAAGCCCGAGCCUCGCCGCUUCAGGAGAGCUUGGCAGUGCUCGUCGCUGGCCUAUAUAAGGCACUGCCCGAACCCCUCCUCGCCAUAUCCCCUCUCCUCCACCCCUGGAUUAGCCCUAUAGACCCCCAGCAAGAGCCGGGAGCUCGUCCCCCUCAGCUCUGGCGACAGGCUUCGCCGCCAAAUUGCCUCUAUUGCCAGCCUUCUCCGCCCUUCCCCAGUCGAAUCCAAGGCCGUCAUUGUGUUCCCUUGGUCAUGUUGAUGCUCCUCGAGCCUUCGGUGAGUCGAACCCCUGCCAGAACCAUCGCCGUCGAUGACCACCGUAGCUUCCACCCGCCGGAGAAGAAGGGGUGACAUUGUCCGUCCACCUCCGAAGGAGCUACGUGUACAGUGAGGACCGCCAUCGAGAGCCCGAUCCAUUCCUGUCAUCUCCCAGCCCCGCCGCCGCCUCUAUCACUGGUGAGCGUCGCCGAUGAGCCGUCCUCCUCUGUUCCCCCUCCUCUCUCUCUGUUUUAAAGGGGGCAGGCCCCACCUGCCAGUGUCUGAGGCCCACGGCCGAAGCGUUAAGUGGAGGCACCCCUCCACUUUACGCCUUCGACGUGGCCCCUCCCAGGAAUUUCAUUUCUUUUAUUUAUUCUAGAUUCAAACAUAAACUUUGACCAUUUAAAUAUUUUUAUUUACAAGUCCAAAUCACUUGAUUCUUUUUGCAUUGAGUUGGUAUUGAAGUUCUUUACAAUCUGGUAAAUUUUGGUAUUUUUCCCACACUCAUAGAAUUUAUGGUUAAUAAAAAGGUAUUUAAUGCUUUUCCUUUUAUUUUGCUAUUUCAAACAUAUUUUUAGAGGGAAACUUUGAAGACCAGGAGUGUUUGAACAACCCCACUGAUCAAGGCAAGCCAUCAUAUCCAUGUGAUGUAGUUUUGCAUAGCAUAACUCACAUCUUCAUGCAUUAUACUUGCUUAACUUGUUAGAAAUAAUCAUUUAAUAAACAAUCAUAUAGAGAUAUAUGCUUAUGGUUAUAAAUCACUAAGGUUACUAUGGCAUAGUGGAUCAUCAUGAGUCACCUGAUUGGGCAUAAUUGUACAACCACCUCUUGCCGGUAUGGGAAGGCCGUGACUUGGGUUGUCCGCGUGAUCUCUCACCGAUAAGCCCCCCAAAGAGGGAGGGUUAUGCACGCGUGCCACCUUGGCCCGGUGGGCGGUGAUAACCCUGUGAGCCCAGUUAAGUUGAGUUGGCCCUUCCCCGGUUGGGAAAGUUUUGUUUGGCCACGACGGUGGCAGGUGUCAUGAGGACACAUGGCCACCUAGGGCAGGACUCCGGAAGGGAGUGGUUGCCGGGGAUAUGAUGAGAGAAUCACGGGUUAGGCAAGUUGCGUUGGAUCAAUGUUGGUCCAUUCGAAUGGGAUCGCGAGGUCAGUGCUCCAGAUUGUGGGUAAAGUAUGCAACCUCUGCAGAGUGUCAAAACUAUUCGAAUAGCCGUGUCCACGGUAAUGGACAACCCGACCAGACCUCGGUAGAUGGUCAACCAUGUGGAUGUUAGUAAUGAUGGAAGAACCCUCUAGUUGAAUGGAGAUGCUUGAUAAGCAUCCCAGUGGUUGUGAGACAACCCCGGACAUGAGUAAGUGGAUAUUAUAAAGCCAAGUGAUAUUAUUCCUAAUUUGUUGCCAUGCUAUUGUUUGCUGCAUUACUUGGUUAUUAUGAGCUUGCGAGUACAUUUCAAGUACUCACCUGGCGUAUCAUGCCAGAUGCAGGAGAAGCCAAGGACGGAGGUCCUGAUGAUGCGUACUAGGAAGUGUCCACAGCAGUGUCCCUGUGUAUGGAGUUGUCACUAUGUUCCGCUACGCUGCAGAAGUACUUAGUAGUUUCGAGGCCCCGCUUUGUCUCAUAAAUAAUGUAGAUAUUGUGCAGCACCAAGGGUUCCUUUGGCCUCGCUAUCAUUGUAAGAUAUGUAUCUGUAACCUUAUGCUAUCAAUAAAGUCAGUUCAGUUCUGUUCUAACACUACUAGGAAAAGGGCUAUAGAUGAUAUAGACAAUAAUGGCGCACCAGACAAGUAGUGCGUCACUACUAUAUAGUAGUGGCACACCAUGUGCAGGUGUGCCAUUAGUGUGAUGGACACUAAUGGUGCACCACACACUCGGUGCGCCACUACUAUAUUUUUUUUGGAAAACUACUAAUGGCGCACCACCAGCUGGUGCGCCAUUAGUAAUCAGGGUUACUAAUGGCGCAUAUGUAGGUGGUGCGCCACUAUUAUAAUUUUUUUUAUUUUAUAAAACUACUAAUGACGCACCACCAGCUGGUGCGUCACUACUAUAAUAUUUUUUUUCCAAAACUACUAAUGGCGCACCACCUCGUGCGUCAUUUGUAACCAGUGCCCCAACCCAAACAAGCAUCGAAAAUUCCCCAAACCAACGCCACCUUCUCGGUCUCUCCCUCUCCCACCGCCGCCGCCCGCCACCACCUACACCUUCUAGCGUCGCCGCCACCCACCACCGACGGCCUCCAUCCUCUCCCAUAACAGGCGCACUCGUCUCCCACCUCGCCCCCACCCUCUCCUCCUCACCUCACCUCACCUUCUCGUAUUUAACUGUUUGUAUCACCUUCUCGUAUUUCACCAGAGCAGGAUAAUCCGUCGCCGGCUGAUUCCGGCGCCACCCCGCGCCGCAGCUCGCCGGCCCGACUCCCCCUCACCCUCCUCUACCGAUUCGCCGCAUCCGCCCCGGCCUCCCGCCCCCGCGCGCGCCACCCAGGCAAACCCUAGCUCGCCGGCGCGGUGGUGCGGUGGCCGUCUUCCGCUCCUCCUCCCCAGCUCUGGCGCCCCCGCCUCGCUUACUCGGCGCGAGCUUCCUCCGCCACGAUGUCUUCUGGUCCCACGGCGGUGGCGUUGGCCGUUCCUCCUUUCUCUCUGCCUCGGUAAUCCCUCGGUUCUGCCCCCCUUUCUCUCUCUCUCCUGCUCUGGGUGACACGGCCAACGAGCCGUGGCUGAUUAUGGGGCCAUUGCUUGGCUACUAGUCCCAUGACCGUCGAAUGGUUGCUCAAUUCCUGCUCUAGCGUGUCUGUAUCGCUGCUGGCUGUGGUUUUCUGUUGAUGACAUGGUUGUAAGUGAUGGUUGUGUACAUGGUUGUUAUUAGCUACUGAUGUCAUGCAUUACUGGGUUCCUAGAGCUUCCGAUUGUACUUAUGUUCUGUGGUUAGCUAUAGAUCAUGCAUAGCUGUCUUUCCUGUAUUUUGUACUAGUUAGCAAUGGACCAUGAUUCUGUUCCUUGGCUUCUAAUGGUAGCUAAAUUUCUACUUAAUGGGAUUGGCCACUCUGCUUUUUUUGUAAUGUGCUUGGUGGUCAUUAUCCGUAUCCUAUACUAGUUGGUGCGCUCCAUGGAUGGAUGGAUUGGAUGGGAAAACUUUAGCACUCCCUCCGUUCACAAAUACAAGAAUCAUGUAUCCCUCGUUCCGGUGUUCUGAAAUAGAGCUGGCAGAAGAAGGUUGUAAUAUUGAGAGUUCAUAAACACAAGUGUUGCGCCGUUGCUUGUGUUCAUUAUCUGUAGCUCUGGUUGCUGAUAAUUAAGGGAACAACAAUCCUGGAAUAUGCUACAAAUCUUGUUAUAAUGGACAUCAAGAUGAUCAGGGUUAUGGACUCUUCGCCAUAGAAACACAGUCAGACUCUUACUAGUUAUUAAAAUAAUAGGUGAAAGCUUGGUCAAGAAAUGAAGCAAUGAUGCUAAGUAACACUUGCUAUAGGAUUCUGAUCCACUUUAAAGCUUCUGAAUAUAGGAUACCAAUAUCAAGUGAUUCUAUACACAGUAUUUUGAUGUGUACUCUGGAUGUUACAUAAGGUAGCGUGAGUGUGAUUCCCUACUUUUGAUUCUCUAAAAGAAGGAACCUUUAAAAUCAUUUGGAUUCAGGUUGAGUGCCUGAUUUGCUCGAAGAACAUCCUACCUGAUGAAAGGAUGCGAUGUUCAGGUCAUCACUGUGAAGUAACCUUGCAUAAGGUUUGUUUUGAAAAAAGUGAUGGAAGCUGCCCUCGACAUAUAAGUUGCUGAAACAAAGCUACAGAUCUAAAAAAAUUGUUAUCAUUUUUCCCAAGAUUGCAAACAGUGAUUUGCUAUAGAUAUAAAUGCUUAUAUGUGCAUCCAAUGAGAAAUAAUUACCUAUUUAGUUUCGUUGAAGUCUUUGUUUGUUUCAAUAAUUUAUGACGAUUCAUCCCCUUGGUAUUAUAAAGCCAAGUGGUAUUAUUCCUAAUUUGUUGCCAUGCUAUUGUUUGCUGCAUUACUUGGUUAUUAUGAGCUUGCGAGUACAUUCCAAGUACUCACCUGGCGUAUCAUGCCAGAUGCAGGAGAAGCCGAGGAUGGAGGUCCGGAUGAUGCGUACUAGGAAGUGUCCACAGCAGUGUCCCUAUGUAUGGAGUUGUCGCUAUGUUCCGCUGUGCUGUAGAAGUACUUAGUAGUUUUGAGGCCCCGUUUUGUCUCACAAACAAUGUAGAUAAUGUGCAGCACCAAGGGUGCCUUUGGCCUCGCUAUCAUUGUAAGAUAUGUAUCUGUAACCUUAUGCUAUCAAUAAAGUCAGUUCAGUUCUGUUCCAAGUUGUUGAGUGUUUCCAGAAGACAUUAUCUCUGGGUUGGAAACACUGGUAAUCCGAUUCGUUGAAUCGGGGUGCCACAGCCUCCCUUAUGCCUACCGCUUUUCCAACCUCCGUUGAACCAAACAUACAAUAGGCAAUUCAGUUCAGACUAUUUUGAAUCUUAGUCACUCAUGACCCUAGUUUAGAAUAUUAUUGAUCGAAAUUGCAAAAAUAUUGUAGUACCACCGCCCACCAUGACCCCAAUGUUUCUUAGAAAAGUAAACCCUUCAAGCUACCUUGGCCAAAAAAAAUCAUUAAAAACAAAACAUUGACUCCAAGCUCCGUGCCUAACUAGUUAGAUCAAAGUCAAAAAAUUCAACUUUAGAUCCUACAUUAGUUGGGAGGUAAAUUAAAAAAUAGUUGAUAAGUUGUACAAAUUGAGGUAAAAAGGUACCAUUUGAGAAAAAAAUGAAAUAGUAACAUUUGAGCAAUACAUCGUCAAGUAACAGGUUUCAACGAAUUAUGGUGAGUUCCCACCUUACAGUUUUACAUUUGAUUUUAGCCUAGCCAACUUAAAAUAAUUAUCGCUAUUCUUAUAAAACAUGAAUCCAAAGUAUGAUUUUGAUCAAGCAAAAAGCCUAUGCUCUAUUAGUCUAUUAUGAAAAUAUGUUCCACGAAAAGAAAUAUCAUACAGUCACAUGCAUCUGAAUAUGCCAGGUCAGUGCACACACGUACGAUGAAAACACGUGCACAGAAUCCUCUCGUGCAUCUGCAUCACCACGUGGCAGCAAGUACCGCAGCCCAUGGCGUCACGCCACUGGUUCGUCUCCCUCCAUACCCGUAACCGAGCAUGCCGAAUGGGGUGCUACUACUCGCAUAUUCUCGUAGAGGGAUAUCGCCGGCUCUUGUGGCGCCGAGCAGGUUGAGGCAACCCACUAUGCCUCUGCCCCCGCCAAGCUGACCCCUGCCGUCGGGAAGACGUUGGCUCCAUUGUUCUCGAGUGCCAACCAACUGACUGCGACCGAGUGAACCCGUGUCACCCGGAAUGUCCCCCAUGCCUCCCACGCCUGAGAAUAGGUUCUCCUCGUCCACUGUGUCGAUGUCUCCUGCAACAGUGGCCAAAAGGGAGGCCUUCGUCUCACCCCGAACGUGCACAGUCUUGGCCACCGCCAGGACAUGCGCCGCGAAGGCAGAGCAGGGGGAGUUAUGUGACAAUGCUAGAGUGAUUUUUGAUAAUGUGGAGCUCUAGGUCCUACUCGCUCUUUGGUGUUAUUGUGCGCGUGAGAACAUAUGCUUUUGCUGAUGCAUUUGUGGUCUAUAAAUAGGCGGUGAAGGGGUAUGCAUGACGGCCAGAGAGAAGGGGAGAGUGUAAAUGAGGUGAGCGUCAGUGCUCCAGUGCUCUAGUGAAUUCUUUUAUUUACAGUCAGGAGUAGAUUUCACAAGAGUAGAGGUAGGAGGGGUAGACCAACAGAGUCUGUUGCUUGUGUGUAAUGUACUACGUUUUCUUCUUCUUCUUCUAGCCGAUGCUUCUCUUNNNNNNNNNNNNNNNNNNNNNNNNNNNNNNNNNNNNNNNNNNNNNNNNNNNNNNNNNNNNNNNNNNNNNNNNNNNNNNCCUAGCAAAUGAAGGCUAGGCUACUAAAUUUUUGUGUUGAGCGGCUCAAAGCACAACUUUGAAAAAGUGCCCAAUCAUUUUGUAUGUGAGUUUGUAUUGUCAAGAGAUCAAGCCCAAACAUAUGAUGUUUUCUUAGAAGAGGUUUUCUUAGCUGGUCAACUGCAUCACCUUUCCUUUUUACUGCAAACACAUCACUGGCGGGGCACUGGCGAGCUGAGAUAUGCACACAAGAGAGAAAAUCAGGGAUGGAAAUGGAGUUGUGUCCCGGCAAAAUGGGUACCAAGGAUUUGUUGGUAAUGUAGAUUCUUAGAUCAAGAAACAAAGUUUGCAGUGAACAUCAGAGAAAACAUGAUAGAACUUAGGCAAUGAAGUUGGGACUUGGGUCUACGUGAGGAAAACCCUCCUACCGAAGAAAAAUAUGUUAGGUCUCAUUUUCCCCAAAUAACAAGAGUGUUUAAACUACACAAAUAUUAUAGAGACAAUGCUCACCUUAACUCUAAUGUUUCCUAACAAAAGAACCUCUAGAAGGUUCAUCUUGGCCCCACUAUCUCGUUAGAAAGAAAAACAAAAGCUACCUGAAGCUCCACAACUAGCUAGUUGGGUUACUCAUUUUUCCCAAAUAACAAUAGUGUUUAAAUUACACACAUAUUAUAGAGCCAAUGCUCACCUUAACUCUAAUCUUUCCUAACAAAAGAACCUCUAGAAGGUUCAUCUUGGCCCCACUAUCUCGUUAGAAAGAAAAACAAAAGCUACCUGAAGCUCCACAACAGAUUCUUUAGGUUGUGUUUGUUCAGCAAUCCUCCACUCCAUCACUACCGAGCUGAGCGCCCUUUUACCCGCUCGCCAAAAUACAACUGCAUGUUGUUCCGCUCUGCAACGGAGAGCUGUAGAGCACAGGGAUUUCGAAUACUCGCUUAAAAUCUUAUUAAUUUCCAAUUCGUAUAAGCGCUAAUUUUAUGGGGGAACUCUUAGAAUUUAGUACAUACUAAAUGAACAAAAAUCAUAAAUAUAUUCAUAAAACAGGAAGACUCUAAAUAAACUGUUUAGUCCUCAAAGGCAACGGAAAUUACUCUAUGGUAUUGUGCAUUGGCAUAUUGGUGAGAAACAAUUCUUCAGCAUCCUCAAGUGCAGAUAUUUUACAAAUAUUCUAAACCUAUGGAGAAUAAUAUAUGUAAACCAAUCUGCAGCAAACACACCGAGUUGCAAACAUCAUGAUAACGCACCUAGUAUCAUGACAUGGUCAGGAUUUGACAUUUCGGGCGCCUCCACAACUGGUGGACAUGUUGCAGCCCAUGAAGGUGCCAAAAGGAACACUACCCAUCUGACGAACGCCACAGCCUUUGAAUUCACUACCCAAUCCUAUUCCCUCGCCACCACCUGGGGCUAUGACACCGGUGAAGAUGUUGUUGCCAUUAGUGUCAAAGCUCAUUGUAGUCACCGCUAACGGCUAGGAAGCUCAUACAGUUUCCCAUUAGUUUCAAAGCUCAUUGUAAUCACACAGAAUACAGCAAGCCUUCACGGCAUGGCGGGAGGCACUAUCAUUAAAGCAUCAUCGUCAUGGCCGUCAAAAUUGUACGAGUACACCUACAACAUCGCCGCGACAAUCGACACCGUUACAUCACAGCUUGACAUCGUGGCCGUUGCAGCACGCCUCGACGCAGGCAAGCCAGCCUCACAGCAUCACCGCUGCAUCCACCAGGCUUUGUCGUGUGACUGUUAAAGCGUCCCACACAGCGUCAUCACACCACGCCUUGUCAACAUUUGUCGAAGCACGCCUGGACGCACCCAGGCUGCCCAAAUAUAAUCUCCGUGGUUAUCACGACACUCCUUAUCGUCAUGGUCAUUCAAGCAUCAAUGAAGUCACUGAAGCAACACGUCUCGUUGUGGCCGCUGAAACAUUGUCACAGCCAUUGAAGCACGGCUCCUCAUCAUGACCGUCCAUUGAAGCAUGUAUCACAGCAUCAUGACGCCGCGCUUGCUGAUAUCGUUGCAACAUUACCGGUUCUUUAUGAUCGUGCACAUCAAUCGAUGGGAGGCAGGGAUUAUUCUCUUUUUCCAAGAGUAUUACCUGGAACAUUUCUCCAUAUAGUUUUUUUGGCAACAUCAUUUGUACUUGUAUAGAUCGCUUCUCGUGCCAGCCAACGCAAGUCACAGCCUCGCCAAACUAGGAGAUGCCCACUUUGCGAUUGCGACUAGGAGAUGGCGGCACACUUGACCUUUCAAUGUUGCUUCUUCAUGCGAGUAAAUUGCACAGAAGUAGCAUAAUUAAGACAUUACAUGCAGAUUGAUAUCAAGAUUGAUAAUUUUUACAUGUCAGUACGAAGUUUGGGGCAAGCCAUUGCAAUAAAGAUCUAAACCACGUAUAAAUAUGUAUUACCGGUGUAUCUGACUGAUGGGACCCGUCUGUCAGGUACCGAUGUGACAAGUUUUAUGCAAAAAAACCCUUACUAUAUACUUAAUCAUAUAAAUGACCUUUUUCACACGAAAAAAAACAUAUGAACUUUUCUUUACGUUCAUAAUUUUUUAAUAUCAAAUCGGACUUUUUGAAAGUUUUUGUCAAACAGUAAAGAAAAAGAAAAAACCGAGGCGCAGCAAGAAUCGACCCGCGACCUUUGAUAAAGUCAUACACAGGCGUGACAUCACCACCACAAGGCCACGGAGGAGCUCGCAUAGAAAACCGGCAGGAUGCUUUUUAUACUAUAUUUAGUUCACUAGCAAGAAGUCUCAAGCAUCUAAGCCUGCUCGACGAGGAGGAUGACUGCCAUCUCGCCGGGAUCGUCACGUUCGCCGACGUCCCAAGGGUCUUCCGUGAGCAGCUGCAGUGAGGCGGAGAUGAAAAGAGGCUUGGGAGUUUUUGCACUGCCAUCUCGCCGGGAUCGUCACGUUCGCCGACAUCCCAAGGGUCUUCCGUGAGCAGCUGCAGUGAGGCGGAGAUGAAAAGAGGCUUGGGAGUUUUUGCAGUGGACCUGAACUCUGGAGAGGAUUUGCUGUUUGGUAGGGCGCUGAGUUGCUGCGCCUGCCUUGUUCGUUUCUUGUGAAAUGUGAUGAACAUGAACCGUUUUAAAUCUAUUCUUUGUUGAGACAUGUUUCCACUUUGUUGUGUUAUCUUUGUUUGCUUGGUGGUUUUGAACCUCAAGACUUGCUUUUGCUUUGAUAAUAAAGCAGCAUCGUGCAUUUGAUGCUGUGGUACAAUUGUGUUUCUCAUCUUAUGAUGACAUAGGGAUUAGCCAUCCAUUUUUUUUUUGUGAGAUUCCACAUAGGAAAAGAAACAGUACUGUGAACACCACCCCUGGGAGUAGCAUUUUUCUGAACCAUGACUAGCAAGUAGAUAGUGCGGGACAUCUGGACAUCCGCUCCUUUUCACUAAAAUUUACUCCCUCUGUAAAUCAAUAUAACAAUAUUUAGAUUGCUAAAAUAGUGUUCUAAAUGCUCUUAUAUUAGUUUGCGGAGGGAGUAUUACAAUAUUACAUCGAUAAACUGAACAUCUGGACUGACGUUAUCGUAUUGUUUUGGCUUGUCCUCCGUAUAGGAGGCAGCUUUCCUUGUAUUACGGGUUAGAGUGGAGGGAUUCUGGGUUAUUCAGUCGACAUCCAUUGGAUUGGCCCAUGUUACGUCUUGUUCCAGACUGCGCCAGGAAGUUAGAAUGCGCUAGAGUCACCGUACGAGCAGGCGUAAAUUAUAGAAAAAAUAACAAUUAAUUAGAGACUUAGCAUGAUUAGGUUCUGACGCGUGCGUAUUUCAUUUUUUAUUUUUCCAGAUAAUAAACGACACCAAGGAGGGCAUGGACUCACGUUUUUGGCUGUCAGUUUUUCCUGUCAAUAUUUAUUUGUAACAAGUUAGCUAUAUAACGUUAUCUAAAAGUUUUGUAGUCCCUAAUUGAACGUUAUCACAUAAAAACCCAGAUUAUAUUUAACGCUAAUACAUGCCUGUCAGAGGACACCACGCGCAAACUCGUACAGUGCCAACAGAAGGUCAAAAACACUGCUGGUACAUGCAUGCAGUAACAAGACAGGGGCUCGAUCACUGUAGAACCAUGUGAAAAGUAAAGACCUCAAUUCAACAACAUACUCAUGUCAAAUCGGAAGUAUUUUUUAUUGUUUCUCAACCCAUUCAACACGCCCGUCAUUUAUUCCCUCGCCGUCCAUCCCGUGCAUCCCUCGUCCAUCGCUUCAAUAUAUGCUUUUCUGGUAUUCUACUAAGCCGUAACUAAAUCAUGACCUGCCAUAGUAUAAACGGUUUAGUGCCGAGAAAAAAAUUGGAUUUCAUAUAAACCGUAAGAUUAUCUUAGUUUGUGUGACAUGGAACUUACUAUUAAGGCAUGGCAGCAGACCAUUCCAGAGUGCUCAAAUGACCCACACUCACAAUUAAAAAUGUUUCAAAAAUGGACGUCUGAUGCUCCGAAACAGUACAUGCGCUGGACCCAGAGCCAAACACUUGUGCCAAGCAGGGACGCCUACACAGCCUAGCUGGUGCUGCUAGCAAAAUCAGGCAGGGGACAGCGACUAGACAGUUCAUGAUCCACACACAUAGUUUAACGUAUCAGAUAUGCAGCAUCGAGGUGCUCGGUCACAGAAACUUCGCACUCGGGGGAGUAGGCCUUUUUCCUGCAUUCGCACUCACGUGAUCGUCCUGUAACACAAUCUUCUUAAUUGAUGAAUGUGCUAAAUCUUUUGUCACUUUUUAAAAAAUUAGACUAUCACUUUUGCUCUUUCUUUUUCUAGAAAACUGCCACAUUCUGCUAGGUACGUUACAAACGAAAUAAUCUCGAUUACGAAAGGGGGGUGACCCACCCGUCAGGACUGAUAGGGCACACAAUGAAAGCUACGUUAACUUUGAACAUCACAUUUUCAUUAUUACAUGUGGGACCCACUGGUCAGUUCUUUAUAAAUUCCGGCGCGGGCAAGGUAGGCAACGACAACAUGCACAAGUGCGCCGACAUGGGCACAUAGAGCCCUGUCCAGCUAUGAGUCAUUCAAGGUCUGACGCCGCCGGUGCCUCCGCAGGCAAUCUGCCUGCCUCUGUUCAUGGAGUCAUCGAAACAGGGAUUGGGAUUGAGUGCCUUAGAGCAUCUCUAGCAGGCCCUAUAUAUUGCUCCGUCCCGCAAAAUAAUCGUCAAAAUAUGGAUCGGGGUGGGGAUGCUGCUGGAACAGACACCGCAACCGCGCACGAUCCGUAAAAUUUUUGCGGGGCGCGGCAAAAUGCCCACCCCAAUUCGUGAGAACGCAGGUCCCCCCUCCUGCCCCAUCGGUGUGCUGCAUACAUCUAGUGCGGUUGGUUGGUGGGACAUUUCAACCCGCGCUUUUCCCCCAUCCACUGGCAUCGGGCGUCGCCUUCGAUUCCGGCCAUACCAGCCAUCGGGAUCACGUCGGCGGGCCGCCGCAGGCCAUAGAUCAACCUCCCCCACGCCCUCGUGCCUCGGCUGGCCGGAAAGCUACAGAUCGGCGGCUGUUUUGUCGCGACCACCGGAUUUGGCUUUUCCGGCCGCCGGCGGCAGUGUCAAAGCCAUGGAUUAGUUAGGGAGCACCCCGCACAGCCCCGGCAAAGCGUCAGCACCGCAUGCAGCUACUGGUUCAUCCUCUAGUCGUCAGUGUCGGUUUGCCGGCAAGGACUCUUCCGGUCGUCGCCCGAGCUCGAUGGUCGCGCAACGGCUCGCCGGCUUGCCGAUGCCGCUCAUCCAGUGUGACGACUGCCUAGAAACAGUGUUGCGGCUGACAUCCUGCACGUGGCAGCACCUUGGAUGGGCAUUCUUCAAAUGCAAUAACGACGGGGUAUGCUCGUCUUCCUCUUAGUCUUUGUCAACUUAUUAGUUGGUUAAAUUAUGGUAGCUUAUUAAGGUGUUCAUCUGCGUAAGAAGGUGGAUGCUCAUUUUGUUAUUGGGAAGAAGAAUACAUCGAUUUAUUGAUAGAAAGAAAUUUAAUAGAUGUUCGUACACACCUUAGUAUAAUUGAGGCUAACGAUGCAGCUGCAUGUGCAAUUAAAAAGAAAUUAGUGGGGAAACAAUAUCUAAUUAUUUAGAAUCAAAGCCGAAGAAUGAAGAAUGCAAGAUGAAGAAUCCCGAGACCAACAAUGAAUGCAUGGAGAAGAUGUUGACCCAACUAGUGGGAGGAGUUAUGGAAGUUGGAUAUCUUCUAAAAUGUCUAAUUGUGGUUCUUGUUUUCUUUGGUCUUGCUGUUUUAGCAAAGAUUUGGUGAAUUAUGAUGUAUCCAAUGCCUUUGAAGAAAAUAAAGAAGCAACUAAAUAUGUUUUCAUGCAUGAAAGUGUAAUGGAAAUAACAAAUUAUUUUGCGGGCCAGCGUGAGCGGCAGCCGAGCCGACCCUGUAAAACGGACCAUGUAAAACUGCAAACGCCUUUUGCGGGUCGGAUUUAUAUGGGGUCUCCUAGAGAUGCUCUUAUGGCAGAUGCAUUUGGAUGUAUGAAGGUGGGACCAGCAAUGGCUGGCCCACAUGUUACAGACCCGGAGGCGGGUAACGUUGUGGCACUGAAGCAGCCCUCCCGCGCUCGUAAUGGACACCGCGACCGCCACGGACGCCCGGUGGUGCCGCCGGCGGCGGGCCCUCCUUUCCCACAUGCGCGUUCUGCCUUCUCGGGGCAGGAGGCGGCGGCGGUGCAGCUCGGCCUGGCUGCGGUCCGGCGAACCGGCGGUGAUGGCCGAAGGCGGGUGAGGUGGUGGUGGUGCUUCUUGACAGCAGGGCGGCGUGGUGGUGCGGCGAGUCUACCCGCGCUCUCCUGUGUUGCGCGCGUGUGAUCGUUGCUACUGAUGCACAUGCAGUGCGAUGGAGUUUGUCGUUUAAAAAGGUGCAAUGGAGAGAAGAAGGUGCAAUGGAGAGAAGACGAGGAGUACACAUGGUGCGAUGGAGAUACAAUUGCUAGCAGGCGAGGGUGCGGUACGAUGGAGUUUGUCGUUUAAUUACGACGACCCGUCAUGCAAAAUUACGACGAUUCGGCGACCAACGCAAAAUUACGACGUCACGACAGGCCAAAUUACGACGUCUCAGCUUGAUCAUCACAGACAAGAGCUGUGGUGUGUGACUGCAUGUGAGACGGCCUGAGAUAGCUUUGACAUGGGGCAGGGAGCCCGGGCGUGCCCGGGCAUGACCGGGCUGCCUCAUAUCGUCCUCAUAUUUGAGACGGGUUUGAGGGGUGUCGGUCAGUCCGGUCAUUUUGUGAUCGAUCAAUGGACGUGCGGUCUGUCCGGAAAUUUGAGAAGGAUAUAAAGGAUGCGGCUGUAGAUUACUCUAAUUAAUAUAAUUAUAAAUGCCACUUUGUAGGGUCACACUGUUGAAGACGCCGGUACCAUUACGAUGCCCCCCCUUCCAUAGCCGUUUCCCGCGGUCGGGAAGCCCCGGAGGCUCCCCAUGCCUCCCACGCCCAUGAACAAGUUCUUCUCAUCCGCCGCGUUGCUCCUCCUAGACGAACACCUUCACUGCGGUCUGGAAUCGAGGCCUUCACCGCACCCGACCCAGGCACGGUUCUGGUCAUCGCUAGCCAUGUGGCAGAGCAGGAGAGAGGCGGCACCGCCGGAGCACUUCUUGACCAGAGCGCCGCUCUAGUCUAGUCAGCCAAUUACAUAUAUCGAGUCUACUCAAGCUCUCAUGUGUUGCGCGCGUGUGAUCACUUGCGGUGCAAUGGAGUGUGUCUUUUAAAUAGGCCAAGAAGGAGGAGACAAGGAGUACGCAUGAUGCGAUGGAGAGACAGUUUCUAGUAGGCGAGGGUGCAAAUGUGGUGAAUGGCGGGGAAACGUGGGGGUAGUGAAUGUUUGAUCAGAAUUCAAGAGGGUGAGUAAAUUACUUUUUUUACGGGAACGCGAGCAUUCCAUGAAGACAUAGCGAUAUUGCUGGUCACAAGACUAGUUACAAAGUUCGGGAAAUCCGACAACCAAACAGAUUGAUCAGACUGUCGGCUCCUCAUACCCAACGCUGCUAAAGAAUGAGCACGCUUAUUACAUGCCCUCGGGCAAAACUCAACAACAUAAUCAAUAAAUUCGGUAAUAAGCUGGUACUUAAUAUCAAGAAACAGAUGACCCAACCUUGACUGAUCAAAAGAUGAGGACAACAAAGCCUGCUUCAAUAUCUGAGAAUCCGUCUCAAGGAUUAUGCGCCCCAUGCCCAGCUGAUUAGCCAAACAGAUGGGAUGCUGAAUCGCAAGUGUUUCCGCAUGCAAAGCAUCAUAGGCAUGUGUAAUCCUUCCAUCAGCUGCAAAAAUAAUAGAUCCAUUGCUAUCACGUGCAAGUGCUCCCCAACCACCAUAUCUAGUCUCUUCCAGAAAAGCACCAUCGGUGUUAAUUUUAAUAAACUCAACCGGUGGGCAUGUCCAUCUUGAGGUUGAAGUAGUACUUGAUUUAGUCGCCGGUUUGAAAAAACGCAACCACUCAUCCGUGCUUCCCUUGAUCAAGAAAAUAAAUUCACCAGUAGAUAGCCUGGACUCAUUAUGAUUAGUUUUGUUCCUCUCUGACCACCAAGCCCACAAAAGUGCGACGGUCAUCAUCUUCUUCUCAUACGGGAGCUUCAGAAUACAUUCCAGCACAUGGAUCAGGCCUUGACAUUCCAUCAGUUGCAUACGAAUAUCCUCAAUCUGGAGACCCCGCCAGAGCGGUUUAACACCCUUGCAUCGAAAGAAUAAAUGACCACCAUCCUCAAAGAGCCUAUGACAGACCACACAAGACGUGUCCAGGUCCACUCCUCUCCUGGCAAUAUUCAUAUGCAAAGGGUGCCUAUUAUGGCCGAACCUCCAAAGGAAAUGGUGUAUUUUUGCCGGGCAAUGCAAUUCCCAUAAAUCCCUCCAUACUUCAUUCUUCCAUGAGCCUCCAACCGAAGGCCAUCCUUCAUUGCUACCAGAAUUCGUCAGCUCGGUCGCUAAAUACACAUGGUAAUCCGAUUUAACAGAGAAUACUCCUUUUGCAUCAAAAUGCCAUGCAAUCCAGUCCUCUGUAUCUGCACACAAAGGAAUGGAUAAAAUCUCCUGGACAUCCUCCACGCAAAAAGUGGAUCGAACAAGGUUUUCAUUCCAACACAUAUUAUCAUGAUCGAUCAACUCUGAAAGAGUUUGUACAUUGUGAGUGCCUUUGUGAGAAAUUGGGCGCCUUGUAGUGCCUCUGGAAAGCCACGGAUCCUCCCAGAUUUUGAUAUGGGUGCCAUCUUCAACCCGCCAAAUCAUUCCUUGUUUGAUCACCUUGACCCUCUGUAAAAUACUACGCCACACAUAGCUCAUACCCUUCACCGGAGAAGCAUUCAAGACGUUACCAUCUGGAAAAUACAGAGCCCGGAGAACUAUAGCACAAAGGGAUUCCGGCGCUUGAAUGAGACGCCAAACUUGCUUCGCUAACAUAGCAAGAUUGAAGAUAUGCAGAUCGCGAAAGUCUAGCCUCCCUUCCUCCUUAUGUUUCAUCAUUCUCUCCCAAGAGACCCAAUGCAUAGAACGAUCUUUAUCAUUCUGUGACCACCAAUACCGGCAAAUCAUCUGACUAAUACUAUCACAUAGGCCCUUUGUUAAAUCAAAGCACGCCGUAGCGUAAGUCGGUAUCGACUGUGCUACUGCUUUAAGCAAAAUCUCCUUACCGGCCUUCGAUAGACACUUCUCCUUCCACCCUUGUAGUCUCUUCCAAAUCCUCUCCUACAAAAGAGGAUAAUUUAUUGGCUUCGGAAUCUUGUUAGGUAAUCACGCAGAUUUGCCCGUCACAUUGAAGUGGAAUGCCAGUGUGCUGAUUUGUGGAGGUAAUAAAACACACAUGCCUUGUAACCAUCAAGUUAUGAUUACUCUUGUGGUGAGUGUAGCCUGUUGUACACUUGGCUCGGGUGGUAGCAGCCUUUGAGCAAGUUGUGCGAUAGAACCAAAUUUGCUUUCGCUCCACAUGGAUAAACUUGAUCAGUACCAAUUUAUCUCCUCUCGAUACCCGGUCAGGUACACACACUACUACUAAGAACUUCAGUAUUGGGACUUCAUCCUGCACAUGGACUCAUAGAGCAAACCAUGUGCUAAUUCUAGGCUGUCGAGGUAGUGGGAAGAAAGCUGACGAAAAGUGGCUGAGAGAUAUGAAGAAUUAAUUGUCCUGCAACAUGUCAACAGUUUGAGAUUCUAAAAUUUUUGUGUGAUUUGCUGGGUUUGGGCCGCACGCACAAUGAACAAGACAUUUAGAUGUUCUCCUAGCUGUAAUGGAUCUGUGCUACCAUAAUGUUGCAACUCUAUGUCUACGGAGAUGAUAUUAUUUUUCGUUCUCGGCUAAUGGUUGAGUCACUAACCUAUCCUAAUUUUAUAUAAAUAAAUUAGCAUCACUCAGUGUAAUCAAAUUAACUAGCCGGAGAGGCGGCGCUGGUGGUGGUGCCGCGGUGCUCAUGGACGGAGCCCAUGGCUAGUUGUUGUCUCAUGCCCAUGGACGUGUGGGCAUCGUGGUCGACCGGGUGUGACGUCCGGUGAUGGUGAAUGUUGGUCGGGUGAAAACCUAGUCUAUCUUCGGACGGACCGGCGGCGACGUAGCUCGUUCCCUUUUUAAAAGCGUGGUCGCGGCUUUCAUUACCCGUCGUGUUGCUCCAAAGAAAACUCUGAUCCUCGGGUCAGACGAUGGUGGCAUUAUGGUGCCGUAACCUUUCUGAAGGCGCCACCUUGAAACACACAAUUCGUCGUAUGCGGCUUCAUCUAUUCACGGUGUCGUGUUCACGUUUGAGAACUCUUGUUGCUCUUGUAGUACUAGGCGUAGUGUCGCUCCGCUCAGCGCCUAUGUUUCCAGCCUUGGAUAUGUGCGUGCGUUGUGGUGGCAUGCGUUUGUAUCUGAGAUGUGAUCGGUAUUGCUUUACAUACAUAACUGGACGAAGGCCUUUUUUUAGUUAAAUAGCCAGCUUAAUUUGCGUAGACAAGAUUAAAUUGGAAAGACCGAAGUUCAAUUCCAAGUCGCAUCACUCAUCUCAUUUACUAAGAGCUUCUUCAACUAAGACUUGCAAAUUCGAACUCUCAAACAUCCGCGGACGUGCCCGGAUCCCGGCGUUCAUAUUUGUGUAUCUUAUAUCCGGUUCUUAUAUCCAUACUAGCAUGCAAAACUACGACGCCCUGGCGACUGAUGCAAAAUUACGACGUCUCGACAUGCAAAAUUAUGACACUUCGACAGUCGAUGCAAAAUCACACGCCCCAGCACGCAAAAUUAUGACCUCCCAGCUACUGAUACAAAAUUACGAUGCCCGGGCUGCAAAAUUACGAAGCCCUAUCGACCGACGUAAAAUAACGACGCCCGGCACGUAAAAUUACGAAGUCCUAGCGACCGACGUAAAAUAACGACACCCGGCACGCAAAAUUACGAUGCCUCGUCGACGGAUGCAAAAUUACAACGCCACCACGGGCGAAAUUUCGACGUCCAGGUUCGACCGUCACGGACAAGAGCUCCGGUGUGUGACUGCAUGUGGGCCAGCCUAAGAUAGCUUUGAAAUGAAGCAGGGGCCCGACCGUGACCGGGCUGCAUCAUAUUGUCCUCAUAUUUGAAAUGGAUUUGAGGGGUGCUGGUCAGUCUGGUCGUUUGAGGCCGGUUUGAGAGGCUCGUCUGGGUCGCUUUUGUUGUGCCGAAUAGUGACCGGGCUGCCUGCCCGGGCGUUUGAGAAUGAUAGGUGUGUGACUGUAGAUGCUCUAAUAUAAUUAUAAAUGCCGGCCUUUAGGAGAAUGGUGUUUUGGCUUCCGGGAGCCAUGGAGGCCUUUAUUUUUGAAAAAUUCAAAUUCAAAUUUUUAUGGUUCAAAAAAUUCUGAAAACAAAUAUGCAUGUAUGUAAGGAUGUAACCGAUAUUUGUGUAAAAUUUCAGGUCAAAAUACUUUAAAACGUGAUCUGUACAAAAAAGACAAAUUAAUGGUCUGAAAUGAUGAAUAGUAACAUGUGUUAAACAGCCUCAGAUUUGUCUUUUUUGCACAGCCCUCAUUUCAACGUAUUUUUUUCUGAAAAUUUACACACUUGUGUAUUAUACCUUCAUUUAUCUAUAUAUUUUUUUCAGAAUUUUUUGAAACAUUAAAAUACAAAUUUUCACUGAAUUUGAAUUUGAAUUUAAAGGCCUCCAGUGAGCUCGGGAGCCAAAAGCAUUUAUAACAGUGUAAUAGUGCAUGUUCCAGCCAAUGCAACCAAAAGAUCGAUCUGAUGAAAGAGACUAAGCAAUGCAUUUAUACGUCAACACUCUCCCUCAUGUGUGGCUUCCUCAGGCCUAAUCAUGGACUGAAAGUGAGCUACCAUGUAGAAGUAAAUACUCUAGCCAAUGCAACCGAAAAAAUCCAUCUUAUAAAAGAGACUAGGCAAGACAUUAAUUUAUACGUCAACAAGCAGACCCCCUUAUAAGUGAUCAAACCUAUAAAAUAACAUUUUUUUACAGUUUUAGUCAAAAAAAGACUCGAACAAACCUCUUAAAACCGUCCGACCCUUACAAAAACUAUAGGGCCAUGUGAACACACGCCCGAGGCCCGUGUAUUCUCAGUUUCGAAGGUCAUUUUGCCAAGGCCCCGAAUACCACCAAUCAACGCUAGCAGUUGGGGAAUUUCAGCCCCCGCCAAACACCUUCCGUCCAUAAGCUCGUCGGAGACUGGCCAAAAUUCACGUCGAAGCUUCAUGGUGUUGCUGCUUGUGUAGCUGCGCGGACGCGAUGGACCGCAUCGACCUCACCUGGGCGACCGCCGCGGCUUUCUUUGGCGGGCAGCUAGCCUAGCAGCACCCGCAACAACCGCACGGCCUGCGUCCGGCCGACUGGCCCUGAGCGUCGCGCACGCCUCGUGGUACGCCUUGUCCGCGACUCACGCGUCGUCAAAGGCGGCGACAAGGGGAGAAGGAGCCAGCGUGUGCGUGCGGCCAUGGCGGGCAGGCAGAUGCGGUCCUGGAGCGCGAGCUCGCGAUCGCGGUCACGCGACUGCGGCGGAGAGCGGAUGGGCGAUGGGGGAUGUGCCAGACGGAGGUGCCGAGGAUGGGUAGCGGCGGCAGGGCAGAAGGGGCAGCGGGGGCCCGGGCCUCGACCAUUCCGUGCGUGAGGAGAAAGAAGAGAAAAAAAUAUAUGGAAAAAUUGGGUCCUGCUCGUUGAUUUAAUGUUUUUGUUCUGCGGCGCCUGAUUUUGAUCCUCAUCCGAGACAUGUCCGAACAAUAAACGUAAUUUUACAGUUUGCGACAUAAGGAGUCUCCUAGAGAUGCUCUUUCAUGUGCUAAAAGUGUCAAGGAAAGAAAGCGGAUGGAAGCUUGCAAAUUUAAUAAGUGUUUUUUAUUUUAUAUAAAUAUCUAUGUAAGAAAUGUUCACGUAAUUCGAAAAAAGUUCACCUAAUUGUAAAACUGAUUAUUUAAUAUUAAUUUUAUUUUCNNNNNNNNNNNNNNNNNNNNNNNNNNNNNNNNNNNNNNNNNNNNNNNNNNNNNNNNNNNNNNNNNNNNNNNNNNNNNNNNNNNNNNNNNNNNNNNNNNNNNNNNNNNNNNNNNNNNNNNNNNNNNCAAAAGUGUUCAACAAAAAAACCAUCCAAGUAAAUAUACAAAAUGUUCAUAUUUUGCGUAAAUCAUUUAUAUACUUACAUUAAAUGGCACAAAUUAAAAUGUAUCAUAGUUUUGUUAAAUUUAUAUAAAUACCUAUAAAAACAAUAAUAAAGUAAGUAAGCGGAAUAAGAAGCAAAAGAAGAACAUUAUAAGAAUGUAAACUAAAAAAUAAUAAUGGGAAAAAUAUGUGAAAACAAAAUACAAAAAUAAAGAGAAACAAUAAAUUUAAAAUGCCAGGAGAAAACCAAUAGAGAAACCGAAAAAACAGCACAAACAAGCUAUGCGAGUAAACCAUACAACAGAAAAUCUAAUUAUAAAUAAAGAAGUUAGGCAAAAACCAAUGGAAACCACUUCCCAUCGAUUUUGCUGGACCAGCGCACUACAUGCUCAUGUGGGUGGUCAUGCGCCAUUCCCGACAGUGAGCGGAAUAUAACAUUUCAAAUGUGAUAUACUUUCUCCAUUUUUAUAUACAAGGCCAUUAUCAAAAUUACAAUUUGCAUAUAUACAAUGCCACUAACAUUAAUCGAUGCAAUAUUAAUGUUGUUUGUCUCGUAGUACUAGCAAAGAAGGACAUUAAUUUGGCUUGAUAUGCAUGAGGGAGAAAAAUAGAUAUUAAUUUACACGGUAAAUAAGGAGAUAAGUUGUCUUGCAACAUUGACUUAGAAGGCAUUAAAUUUUACCUUGGUACCUGUAAUGUGGGUUUGUGGCCUUGUAUAUAAAAAUGGAGGGACUAACUUUUUUCUGACGUGAAAGAUAAUAUAAACUUGGCAAUCCAGUUGGCAAUAGUCUGGACCUUAAUUUAUUUCUAUCACAAAUAAUGUCGCUAUUGUAGGUACACAAAUUUUUAGGAACCAAUGCUCACCUUGACCCCAACACAACCUAGCUACUUUGACCACAGCUCAAACCAUUCAAUUUUGGUUACAUGUAAAUAAAAGGAAGAUAAAGUUUCCUAUGUUCAGGUAUAAGUACAUGUAGCAUUUGAGAAUUGAGAUAAUAAAAUAACUAAUAUCAUUUGAAAUAUCAACCCAAAACAUCACCCAUCGUGAAAUUCCAACAAGUUAAAUUGAGAUCCCAACCUACAACUGCACUCAUAUUUGCAACUUGGCGGACAUCAUUGCCAUGUUGCACUUUCUUUGAACUCUUGCUCAGUGGAGAUGCGAAGGACAUUCCUUUUUGGGUGCUCCAAAAUAAAAUGAUUUUCAUGUUUGUACCCAAUUUUCACUAUAAUAUAGAUGUGGAUUUCAAAUAUAAUAUAAAAUCCUAAUUAAUAGGAUGGAGCAACAUCUACCGCAGGAAGACAACCAAGAACUCCUACACCUCGGGGUCUAAAAUUUGCACUAAAUUAAGUGAUAUGUGAGCUUUAAACUAAUACAACAUUGAUUUGUGACUCUUAUCCUCUUGUUAGACAAUGUACAUUUGGAUUUACCUAAAUUGAAACUAUAAUAUCAGUUGAUGUGCCUUGCAAUUGGUAGAAAUAUGUUGUAUUUGGAGUAAGGGUGAUGUGCAUAUGUAGUAAUUAAUGUGACACUAUAAAAGAUGAUGCUCAUAACGGGUACAUAAGCUCUACAAAAUUGGUGAUCAAAAUUGAUUUGAACUAAACAAGAAAAUCAUGGCACAAAGCUACCUAGAAACAAUAUAAUGAAUGAACCACAUUCAUGUGAGCUAGAUUUAAAUUCACACCAAAUAAUAGAUUUCCAUGAAUACCAGUGAUAACCAAUCAUCCAUCAAAUGUAUUUUGAAGUAGGUAAGGGGGUGGUUGACGAGUCAUGUUAAUGACCACAUUGGCAACCAUACAUGAUAGAUAUGUAUAGGUUGGUAAUGUGAAUAGGGUGAACCAUCAUGUGAAUAGAUUUCUUAUUUAGUAUUGAUAGCUGCUCAUUGUUCUUGCCCAUCACGAGCCACACUUGUUCUUGAUUUAAUGCAUUGACAUCUCAUUGGCAGUUAUCGAUUGAUCGUUAUGUAAACCUUGGUCCUCGCUCAUGAACAGAUUUGUCCUAUUUUAGAAUUGAAGGUAAAUAUUUUAAAAGGAGAAUAAAUUGGUGAAAGUAAAUUAAUUUUAUUUAUAUAAUACCAGACAAUUAUAUUGAGCACCAGAUCAUUGCAAAUCAUUAUAUUCACAAUCUAAAACCCCCUUCUUUUACAGGUUUAUUAAUAAUACUACCUGCCAAGAAGCAUCUAUUCAUGAAAUGCAUAUUAGCAAUAAGUGCUUAUCAUAAGGAAUAUAAGAGAAGUAUACACAAAGAAAAAAAUGCUAUUAUAAAAUCAUAAUGAACCAUUCAUCGCCGCAACAGGAGGAUGUCAACAACCCAACGGACAUUUAUGUAAUUUGCUUCAUUGCUUGGUCAUAUAUGUUAUAAGUGAAUUGUGCACAAUUUAAUAUUCGAAUCAGGUUCCUCUAUAAGACACAUGACCAACUGAAAAUGCAGGGUAAUAUUACACUUACCUCGAGCAUUCAACAUCAAUGGAUCACCUAGGUAUUUGUCCUAAUUCAUAGUGAAGUUAAACUCCGCAAUGACCAGGCAUAUAUUGGUGCCUCCCACUCUAGGUUCUGUAUAGCAGCAUUUACACAAAUUGAAUUUGCAAAUGUAUAGAAAUUAUAAGCUCGAGGAUUUUCUACGUAAAAGUACACUGAUAUGAUGGCAUCUAUUUUGUUGCCAAAAGUAGCGUCAUAGGCAACCUUUUUUUUCAAAAGUAGCAUCAUGGGCAACCUAAAGCAAGGGUUUGACUGAGAUGAUAGAUUUAAUCCCUUUUUUGUAGUUGAUAGUACUGGUCAUUUUUUGGUAUAAAGUAAUACAUAUACAUAUUGAGUUUAUAGUCGUUUGUCUCAUGAAAUCGACCAUCGCUCACUAGUAUCACAAAUUCAAAUAGGAACAGAAAACCUUGGAUAUGAUAUCUUGUUGUAUUUAAAUGCAAUAACAACCUUGCUAUAUCUGCAUCAUGCACCUGCAAUAUUACAACUAAAGAAUAGCACACACAUACACACGGAUGGCCAUCAUCUUUGGCAAAGGUGAAGGUUUUCUAAGGAGAACAACGACACAUGCGUCACCUUCAUGUUGAGUACUAACAAUAGGAAAUUUAAUAAAGUACUCG